GUCCGGCUGACGAGUCCCAAAUAGGGCGAAACCCACGUUCUGGAU
rnacentral:hammerhead_ribozyme from 1 species